GAUGAACGCUGGCGGCGUGCCUAAUACAUGCAAGUCGUUCGAACAGCUGAGGAGCUUGCUCCUCUGACGUUAGCGGCGGUCGGGUGAGUAACACGUGGAUAACCUACCUAUAAGACUGAGAUAACUUCGGGACACCGGAGCUAAUACCGGAUAAUAUAUUGACCCGCAUGGUUCAAUAGUGAAAGACGGUUUUGCUGUCACUUAUAUCUUGAUCCCGUGCGCAUUAGCUAGUUGGUCAGGUAACGGCUUACCAAGGCCACGAUGAGUAGCCGACAUGAGCGGGAGAGCGAGCACACUGGAACUGAGACACGGUCAAGACGCCUACGGGAGGCAGCAGUAGGGAAUCUGCCGCAAUGGGCGAAAGAAUGACGGAGCAACGCCGCGUGAGUGAUGAAGGUCUUCGGAGCGUAAAACGCAGUUAUUAGGGAAGAACAAAUGUGUAAGUAACUAUGCACGUCUUGACGGUACCUAAACAGAAAGCCACGGCUAACUACGUG
rnacentral:rRNA from 1 species